rnacentral:rRNA from 1 species
GACGAGCCACCCAAACGUUAUUCGGAAUUACUGGGCUUAAAGGGUGCGUAGGCGGUGCAGCAAGUCGGGAGUGAAAUACCUCAGCUUAACUGAGGAACUGCUUUCGAUACUGCUGUGCUUGAGUAAGACAGAGGUAAGCGGAACUUAGGGUGGAGCGGUGAAAUGCGUUGAUAUCCUAAGGAACACCGGUGGCGAAGGCGGCUUACUG